ACACUCCUACGGGAGGCAGCAGUGGGGAAUAUUGCACAAUGGGCGCAAGCCUGAUGCAGCCAUGCCGCGUGUAUGAAGAAGGCCUUCGGGUUGUAAAGUACUUUCAGCGGGGAGGAAGGCGAUAAGGUUAAUAACCUUGUUGAUUGACGUUACCCGCAGAAGAAGCACCGGCUAACUCCGUGCCAGCAGCCGCGGUAAUACGGAGGGUGCAAGCGUUAAUCGGAAUUACUGGGCGUAAAGCGCACGCAGGCGGUCUGUCAAGUCGGAUGUGAAAUCCCCGGGCUCAACCUGGGAACUGCAUUCGAAACUGGCAGGCUAGAGUCUUGUAGAGGGGGGUAGAAUUCCAGGUGUAGCGGUGAAAUGCGUAGAGAUCUGGAGGAAUACCGGUGGCGAAGGCGGCCCCCUGGACAAAGACUGACGCUCAGGUGCGAAAGCGUGGGGAGCAAACAGGAUUAGAUACCCUUGUAGUCC
rnacentral:rRNA from 1 species